UACGGAGGAUGCGAGCGUUAUCCGGAUUUAUUGGGUUUAAAGGGUGCGUAGGCGGGAUGCCAAGUCAGCGGUAAAAAUGCGGUGCUCAACGCCGUCGAGCCGUUGAAACUGGCGUUCUUGAGUGGGCGAGAAGUAGGCGGAAUGCGUGGUGUAGCGGUGAAAUGCAUAGAUAUCACGCAGAACCCCGAUUGCGAAGGCAGCCUUCCGGCGCCCUACUGACGCUGAGGCACGAAAGUGCGGGGAUCGAACAGG
rnacentral:rRNA from 1 species